GAUCCUGGCUCAGGAUGAACGCUAGCUACAGGCUUAACACAUGCAAGUCGAGGGGCAGCAUUUCAGUUUGCUCGCAAACUGGAGAUGGCGACCGGCGCACGGGUGAGUAACACGUAUCCAACCUGCCGAUAACUCGGGGAUAGCCUUUCGAAAGAAAGAUUAAUACCCGAUGGCAUAAUUAGACCGCAUGGUCUUAUUAUUAAAGAAUUUCGGUUAUCGAUGGGGAUGCGUUCCAUUAGG
rnacentral:rRNA from 1 species